rnacentral:rRNA from 1 species
UACGGAGGGGGCUAGCGUUGUUCGGAAUUACUGGGCGUAAAGCGCGCGUAGGCGGCUUUGUAAGUCAGAGGUGAAAGCCUGGAGCUCAACUCCAGAACUGCCUUUGAGACUGCAUCGCUUGAAUCAUGGAGAGGUUAGUGGAAUUCCGAGUGUAGAGGUGAAAUUCGUAGAUAUUCGGAAGAACACCAGUGGCGAAGGCGACUAACUGGACAUGUAUUGACGCUGAGGUGCGAAAGCGUGGGGAGCA